AGGAAGAGUUGUGCAGUUGCCCAUAGCAACCAAUCAGAUCGCUUCUUUCAUUUUGCAGAGGCAUGGCUCAUAGGAAGGUUUUCCAAAACAUCAAUUGAAGAUGGCUGACUGGUGAGUGACAUCUGCUGAAGCAAGUGGCAACCACAGCAAUAAGCAAGAUACUGGCUAUUAGACACCAGCCAAGAACCUGGAAAUAGAAAAAUACUAGUUUAAAACAGUGUUUCUACUACCAUGAGGAAUUUGCCUGUCCUGUCACUUCAGCUGUGGCUUCUUGUGUGGGCACCAUCUCUGUAUUACAGUGCCUGCAGCAGGAGCUCAGAGUAAAUGAGCCACAGAUAGCUAAGUCCCAGCAGCUGUGGGAAACUAUAGAGAGCUCCAUUAACACCAUCAAUAGAGGUUUCCUCAAAAGGCAAGUCUACAUUGUGGAAAAAAGUUGCUGUUGCCUCCAAAGUACUACUACGGUCUAGGUGUAUAUGGUCAACAAGUAGCAGCAGUUGUGGAUGGAGUAGGA